UGCAAUCUCUAAUUUUCAAUUUCUCCCUCUCCAUGUCUCUACUCUUCUUUCCAAUACCAAAACAUCAACUUCGGAUCUAAUCCAAUAUUCCCCAUCACCAAUUUCCGUUCCCCAGGCAUCUUCUCUCUUUCUCUCUCUCUGUGUCUAUAGAGCAGUUAUUGCUUUCUGUGGUUGUGUUUUGAGGCUGUGCAUUGAUGAUUUCUUGGGGAUUUUGUAUUGGGAUUGUUGUGUUGUAAAUGGAAUCGUCUUCAAGUCAACCGGAGUUUGACUACUUGUUCAAGUUGUUGCUAACUGGGGAUUCUGGUGUGGGGAAGAGUAGUCUGCUGUUGAGUUUCACUUCCAAGACUUUUGAGGAUCUCUCUCCUACCAUAGGGGUGGAUUUUAAGGUAAAACAUGUUACCAUAGGUGGGAAAAAGUUGAA
rnacentral:misc_RNA from 1 species